GAAUGAACCAACGAAUGAAUGAAUAUCAAUGCCCAGAAACCCGCAGCUUUCAUGAUGACGAAACGGGCCCGGUGAGGUGGAGCCGCCAGCCCAGCCUUCUGCAUUGGUCUCUCCAUGGCACAACCUGCUGAGCUUUCUCUGUGUGGCCACAAGAUAAAAAGCAACAACAUGCACACACACACACACAAACAACCCUGUACCUACAGUAUCAUCAACAUCGUGAUCUCCUCUGCCAUAUCCUGUCCAUCUCUCCUUUGAGCACCUUAGCAGGAGGCGUGGGACUCAUCUGGAGAUGGGCUGGAACACAGGAGGUACCCACAUUAGUCACACAGUGAAGCUCCUGUCUGGGCCUUUGCAAAUGCCAUCCCCCUCCUGGAAUUCUCUCCCACAUCCUUGUCUGGCUGACUCCUUCUACUGCACAGGCAUCUU